rnacentral:rRNA from 1 species
AGAGUUUGAUCCUGGCUCAGGACGAACGCUGGCGGCGUGCCUAAUACAUGCAAGUCGAGCGGACCUUUCGGGGUCAGCGGCGGACGGGUGAGUAACACGUGGGCAAUCUGCCCGAUACUCUGGGAUAACGCUUGGAAACGAGUGCUAAUACCGGAUGGUCUUCUUGGCCGCAUGGCCGAGAAGGAAAAGACGCGUUCGCGUCGGUGUCGGAUGAGCCCGCGGCGCAUUAGCUAGUUGGUGAGGUAACGGCCCACCAAGGCGACGAUGCGUAGCCGACCUGAGAGGGUGACCGGCCACACUGGGACUGAGACACGGCCCAGACUCCUACGGGAGGCAGCAGUAGGGAAUCUUCCACAAUGGGCGAAAGCCUGAUGGAGCAACGCCGCGUGAGUGAUGAAGGCCUUCGGGUUGUAAAACUCUGUCAUUCGGGACGAACCGGAGUCUGAGGAAAUGCAGACUCUCUGACGGUACCGGAGGAGGAAGCCCCGGCUAACUACGUGCCAGCAGCCGCGGUAAUACGUAGGGGGCAAGCGUUGUCCGGAUUCACUGGGCGUAAAGCGCGCGCAGGCGGUGAUGUAAGUCUGAGGUGAAAACCCGAAGCUCAACUUCGGGACUGCCUUGGAUACUGCGUCACUUGAGGAUAGGAGAGGCGAGGGGAAUUCCACGUGUAGCGGUGAAAUGCGUAGAGAUGUGGAGGAACACCUGUGGCGAAGGCGCCUUGCUGGCCUAUUUCUGACGCUGAGGCGCGAAAGCGUGGGGAGCAAACAGGAUUAGAUACCUGGUAGUCCACGCUGUAAACGAUGAGUGCUAGGUGUAGGUGGGCUCAUACCCAUCUGUGCCGAAGCUAACGCAUUAAGCACUCCGCCUGGGGAGUACGGUCGCAAGACUGAAACUCAAAGGAAUUGACGGGGGCCCGCACAAGCAGUGGAGCAUGUGGUUUAAUUCGAAGCAACGCGAAGAACCUUACCAGGACUUGACAUCCCAUAGACCAGUCUAGAGAUAGACUUUCCCUUCGGGGCUGUGGUGACAGGUGGUGCAUGGUUGUCGUCAGCUCGUGUCGUGAGAUGUUGGGUUAAGUCCCGCAACGAGCGCAACCCUUACUUUGUGUUGCCAGCAUUCAGUUGGGCACCCACAAGGGACUGCCGCCGAUAAGGCGGAGGAAGGUGGGGAUGACGUCAAAUCAUCAUGCCCCUUAUGUCCUGGGCUACACACGUGCUACAAUGGGCGGUACAACGGGAUGCGAAGCCGCGAGGUGGAGCCAAACCCUGAAAACCGUUCGUAGUUCGGAUUGUAGGCUGCAACUCGCCUACAUGAAGCCGGAAUUGCUAGUAAUCGCGGAUCAGCAUGCCGCGGUGAAUCCGUUCCCGGGCCUUGCACACACCGCCCGU